CGGUCACCACGGUAGGAUUCAUGACUGGGGUGAAGUCGUAACAAGGUAGCCGUAUCGGAAGGUGCGGCUGGAUCACCUCCUUUCCAG
rnacentral:rRNA from 7 species